rnacentral:piRNA from 1 species
UGGUGACUGCUCUGUUUCUGCAGACCA